AAAGAAUCUUGCUCUUUAUCAACUGACUCCCUGAGGCGUUUCACGCUGCUCUCUGCUCCUUUUGCUUUUGAGCUCGUCUCACCACCUUUGACAAUAACCAAAUAUGCUCCUCAACCUUAGUAUCCAAGAAGGUGGGAUUCCUUCUUUCACCACUCAAAUCACUUUCAACUUCUACCUUCUUACCCGAGUUUUCCAUUUUCUUAUCUCCCAAAAUUUUUUUGUUUGAACCUUCCAAGACCUCCGACUCCACUAGCUCCUUUCCUUCACAACCAACCGAAUGAAAACGAUGUGAAGGAAGCUGCGAUAGGCUUCUCCGUCUUGCCCUGGCUCUGGAUCUUGACCGCGAGCGUGCUCUCCGUAGAGUGUUUUGGGAAGCACUAGGUGAUUGAGUUAUGCCUAACUCACUCCUUACUUCUACUUCCUUGCUUUGAGGUUUCACCGACGCGCUUGAACCCAAAAUAGAGACUGAAGACGGAGCCACUGUCACUGCAACUUUAACCUUGUUGGGCUUGUGUCUGCGGCUUUCUCUUCAUCGGAGGUUUUGGACAACGAUUCAUCAGAUGCCCAAACUUUCCACAAUUACAGCACUUGGGGGGGUAGUUUCGGAUACUCAAUCCU
rnacentral:lncRNA from 1 species